GUGUCUGUAGCUCAGAUGGAAGAGCAACCGGCUUUUAACCGGCAGGUCCUGGGUUCAAACCCCAGCAGACGCA
rfam:Clostridium bolteae CAG:59 genomic scaffold, scf208